UACGUAGGGCGCAAGCGUUAUCCGGAAUUAUUGGGCGUAAAGAGCUCGUAGGCAGUUUGUCGCGUCUGCCGUGAAAGUCCGGGGCUCAACUCCGGAUCUGCGGUGGGUACGGGCAGACUAGAGUGAUGUAGGGGAGACUGGAAUUCCGGGUGUAGCGGUGAAAUGCGUAGAUAUCCGGAGGAACCCCGGUGGCGAAGGCGGCUUCCUGGACCGACACUGACGCUGAGGCGCGAAAGCUAGGGGAGCAAACGGG
rnacentral:rRNA from 1 species